AGUUCGAUCAUAAAGCAGUUGAACGCUGGCGGGAUACUUUACACAUGCAAGUCGAACGGCAGCACGGACUUCAGUCUGGUGGCGAGUGGCAGACGGGUGAGUAAUGUAUCGGAACGUGCCCUAAUGGCAGGGGAUAACUACGCGGCGUAGCUAAUGCCGCAUACGCCCUUCGGGGAAAGCGGGGACCUUCGGGCCUCGCACUAUUGGAAGCAGCCGAUAUGGAUUAGCUAGUUGGUGGGGUAACAGCUCACCAAGGCGACGAUCCGUAGCUGGUUUGAGAGGACGACCAGCCACACUGGGACUGAGACACGGCCCAGACUCCUACGGGAGGCAGCAGUGGGGAAUUUUUGGACAAUGGGGAAACCCUGAUCCAGCCAUCCCGCGUGUGCGAUGAAGGCCUUCGGGUUGUAAAGCACUUUUGGCAGGAAAGAAACGGCACGGGAUAAUACCCCGUGCGGCCCCAGCCGGUACCAGCAGAAUAAGCACCGGCUAACUACGUGCCAGCAGCCGCGGCGUAGUGCAAGCGUUAAUCGGAAUUACUGGGCGUAAAGCGUGCGCAGGCGGUUCGGAAAAGAUGUGAAAUCCAGAGCUUAACUUUGGAACUGCAUUUUUAACUACCGAGCUAGAGUGUGUCAGAGGUGGAGUCCACGCGUGUAGCGGUGAAAUGCGUAGAUAUGCGGAGGAACACCGAUGGCGAAGGCGGCCUCCUGGGAUAACACUGACGCUCAUGCACGAAAGCGUGGGGAGCAAACGGGAUUAGAUGCCACAAUGGUCCACGCCCUAAACGAUGUCAACUAGCUGAUGGGGCCUUCGGGCCUUGGUAGCGCAACUAACGCGUGAAGUUGACCGCCUGGGAAGUACGGUCGCAAGAUUAAAACUCAAAGGAAUUGACGGGGACCCGCACAAGCGGUGGAUGAUGUGGAUUAAUUCGAUGCAACGCGAAAAACCUUACCUACCCUUGACAUGUCUGGAAUCCCGAAGAGAUUUGGGAGUGCUCGCAAGAGAACCGGAACACAGGUGCUGCAUGGCUGUCGUCAGCUCGUGUCGUGAGAUGUUGGGUUAAGUCCCGCAACGAACGCAACCCUUGUCAUUAGUUGCUACGAAAGGGCACUCUAAUGAGACUGCCGGUGACAAACCGGAGGAAGGUGGGGAUGACGUCAAGUCCUCAUGGCCCACUGUGGGUAGGGCUUCACACGUCAUACAAUGGUCGGGACAGAGGGUCGCCAACCCGCGAGGGGAGCCAAUCCCAGAAACCCGAUCGUAGUCCGGAUCGCAGUCUGCAACUCGACUGCGUGAAGUCGGAAUCCUUCGUUAUUAAUCGCGGAUCAGCAUGUCGCGGUGAAUACGUUCCCGGGUCUUGUACACACCGCCCGUCACACCAUGGGAGUGGGUUUACCGAAGUAGUUAGCCUAACCGUAAGGAGGCGAUUACCACGGUAGGAUUCAUGACUGGGGUGAAGUGGCCAACAAAGGUAG
rnacentral:rRNA from 1 species